GCUUCCCGUCGUCCCCGCGGAGGCGGGGACCCAGUGCUUCCGUCUUACUCCGCGCCCCCUGGAUCCCCGCCUUCGCGGGGAUGACGGGGAAGA
rnacentral:miRNA from 1 species